CAAGUACUCCCUCCGUCUGAAAUUACUUGUCAUCAAAAUGGAUGUGUCUAGAACUAAAAUACAUCUAGAUACAUCCAUUUCAAUGACAAGUAUUUUCGGACGGAGGGAGUACAAG
rnacentral:pre_miRNA from 1 species